UCCGUAGGUGAACCUGCGGAAGGAUCAUUAACGAGUUAGGGCCCCUCGCGGCCCGACCUCCCAACCCUUUGUCUACCUGACCACUGUUGCUUCGGCGAGCCCGUCUGUAAUGGACCGCCGGGGGGUACCUUGAUCGGCCCUCUGGUCCGCGCUCGUCGAUAGCCAAACUUUUAAAAUCUUAACCAAACGUGUCUCAAUCUAAGUAUUAUUUGUUAAAUAAAAGCAAAGCUUUCAACAACGGAUCUCUUGGUUCUGGCAUCGAUGAAGAACGCAGCGAAAUGCGAUAAGUAAUGCGAAUUGCAGAAUUUCAGUGAGUCAUCGAAUCUUUGAACGCACAUUGCGCCCUUUGGUAUUCCGAAGGGCAUGCCUGUUCGAGCGUCAUUAUCACCCCUCAAGCCCCCGGCUUGGUGUUGGACGGUUUGGUGGAGGCCCCCUCGCGGGGCCACCGCCCCUCCCAAAGACAAUGACGGCGGCCUCGUUGGACCCCCGGUACACUGAGUUCUUCACGGGACACGUAUCGGACACAUGGGUUUACGGGACACGGUCUGCCUCCCCUCAGGGAGAAUCUUUCUAAGGUUGACCUCGGAUCAGGUAGGGAUACCCGCUGAACUUAAGCAUAUCAAUAAGCGGAGGA
rnacentral:rRNA from 1 species